GUGUUCGCUUCAGCAGCACAUAUACUAAAACUGGAACGGUACAGAGAAGAUCAACAUGGCCCCUGCGCAAGGAUGACAUACAAAUUCAUGAAGCGUUCCAUAUUUUU
ensembl:snRNA U6 U6 spliceosomal RNA